rnacentral:rRNA from 1 species
CCAGUGAUAAACUGGAGGAAGGUGGGGAUGACGUCAAGUCAUCAUGGCCCUUACGACCAGGGCUACACACGUGCUACAAUGGCGCAUACAAAGAGAAGCGACCUCGCGAGAGCAAGCGGACCUCAUAAAGUGCGUCGUAGUCCGGAUUGGAGUCUGCAACUCGACUCCAUGAAGUCGGAAUCGCUAGUAAUCGUGGAUCAGAAUGCCACGGUGAAUACGUUCCCGGGCCUUGUACACACCGCCCGUCACACCAUGGGAGUGGGUUGCAAAAGAAGUAGGUAGCUUAACCUUCGGGAGGGCGCUUACCACUUUGUGAUUCAUGACUGGGGUGAAGUCGUAACAAGGUAACCGUAGGGGAACCUGCGGUUGGAUCACC